UACGAAGGGGGCUAGCGUUGCUCGGAAUCACUGGGCGUAAAGGGUGCGUAGGCGGGUCUUUAAGUCAGGGGUGAAAUCCUGGAGCUCAACUCCAGAACUGCCUUCGAUACUGGCGAUCUUGAGUCCGGAAGAGGUGAGUGGAACUCCUAGUGUAGAGGUGGAAUUCGUAGAUAUUAGGAAGAACACCAGUGGCGAAGGCGGCUCACUGGUCCAGUACUGACGCUGAGGUGCGAAAGCGUGGGGGAGCAAACAGG
rnacentral:rRNA from 1 species